rnacentral:rRNA from 1 species
GAUGAACGCUAGCGAUAGGCUUAACACAUGCAAGUCGAGGGGCAGCACAAGGUAGCUUGCUAUCUGGGUGGCGACCGGCGCACGGGUGCGUAACGCGUAUGCAACUUGCCCUAUACAGGAGGAUAACCCGUCGAAAGACGGACUAAUACUGCGUAUGCUCACAACUUGGCAUCAAGUGGUGAGGAAAGAAAUUCGGUAUAGGAUAGGCAUGCGUCCCAUUAGCUUGUUGGUGAGGUAACGGCUCACCAAGGCAACGAUGGGUAGGGGAACUGAGAGGUUUAUCCCCCACACGGGUACUGAGACACGGACCAGACUCCUACGGGAGGCAGCAGUGAGGAAUAUUGGUCAAUGGGCGCGAGCCUGAACCAGCCAAGUCGCGUGAAGGAUGACUGUCUUAUGGAUUGUAAACUUCUUUUAUACGGGAAUAACAAGAGUCACGUGUGACUCCCUGAAUGUACCGUAUGAAUAAGCAUCGGCUAACUCCGUG